GCCUUCGUAGUGUAGUGGUUAGCGCGCUCGACGCGUAUUCGAGAGAUCCCUGGUUCGAGUCCCGGCGAGGGCA
rnacentral:tRNA from 1 species